rnacentral:rRNA from 1 species
GAAGUAAAAGUCGUAACAAGGUUUCCGUAGGUGAACCUGCGGAAGGAUCAUUAACGAGAGUGGGACCCCGCGUCCCCCGGGGCUUCGGCCCCGACUCUUCACCCUUUGCGUACCUACCAUUGUUGCUUCGGCGGGCCGUCGUUCGCGCCGCGAUGCACGAGGGUUAUCCCCCAGGCCCCGCGUGAGCCCGCCGGAGGCCCUUUUAAACCCGUUAUCAGUGCCGUCCGAGGAGAAAUUCAAUAACUAAAACUUUCAACAACGGAUCUCUUGGUUCUGGCAUCGAUGAAGAACGCAGCGAAAUGCGAUAAGUAAUGUGAAUUGCAGAAUUCAGUGAAUCAUCGAAUCUUUGAACGCACAUUGCGCCCCUUGGUAUUCCGAGGGGCAUGCCUGUUCGAGCGUCAUUGCAACCCUCAAGCACUGCUUGGUCGUGGGUCUCGUCCGCAGGGACGUGCCCGAAAGUAAGUGGCGGUCCAGCGAGGACUCCGGGCGUAGUAAACUAUUUCCCGCCCAGGGACGUUCCCGCAGUGGCCGGCCAGCCAACCCCAAAUUUUCAAUGGUUGACCUCGGAUCAGGUAGGGAUACCCGCUGAACUUAAGCAUAUCAAUAAGCGGAGGAAAAGAAACCAACAGGGAUUGCCUCAGUAACGGCGAGUGAAGCGGCAACAGCUCAAAUUUGAAAUCUGACCCCUUCGGGGCCCGAGUUGUAAUUUGUAGAGGAUGUUUCGGGCGCGGCGCCGGUCUAAGUUCCUUGGAACAGGACGUCAUAGAGGGUGAGAAUCCCGUAUGCGACCGGCGAUCAACCCCAUGUGAAACCCCUUCGACGAGUCGAGUUGUUUGGGAAUGCAGCUCAAAAUGGGUGGUAAAUUUCAUCUAAAGCUAAAUACCGGCCAGAGACCGAUAGUGCACAAGUAGAGUGAUCGAAAGAUGAAAAGCACUU